UUGCCCUUAAUUCAGUGGUUAGAAUGCCAAGCUGUUAACUUGGAAGUCACCGGUUCGAAUCCGGUAGGGUAAG
rnacentral:tRNA from 1 species